rnacentral:rRNA from 1 species
AAUAAUACCCCGGUAGUCCACGCCGUAAACGAUGAGUGCUAAGUGUUAGAGGGUUUCCGCCCUUUAGUGCUGAAGUUAACGCAUUAAGCACUCCGCCUGGGGAGUACGGUCGCAAGACUGAAACUCAAAGGAAUUGACGGGGGCCCGCACAAGCGGUGGAGCAUGUGGUUUAAUUCGAAGCAACGCGAAGAACCUUACCAGGUCUUGACAUCCUCUGACAACCCUAGAGAUAGGGCUUUCCCUUCGGGGACAGAGUGACAGGUGGUGCAUGGUUGUCGUCAGCUCGUGUCGUGAGAUGUUAGGUUAAGUCCCGCAACGAGCGCAACCCUUGAUCUUAGUUGCCAGCAUUCAGUUGGGCACUCUAAGGUGACUGCCGGUGACAAACCGGAGGAAGGUGGGGAUGACGUCAAAUCAUCAUGCCCCUUAUGACCUGGGCUACACACGUGCUACAAUGGACGGUACAAAGAGUCGCAAGACCGCGAGGUGGAGCUAAUCUCAUAAAACCCGUUCUCGGUUCGGAUUGUAGGCUGCAACUCGCCUA